rnacentral:lncRNA from 1 species
AGAGCAGGAUGUAUUUCACUUUAGUUUUUGCAUCCUAGGCACUUAGCACAUUGUCUAUACAUAUUAAGUGCUUAAUAAAUGCUUGUUAAUUGAUUGGGCUUGAGAUGAAUGAUUACCAUGAGAUUUUUGCAGUCAUCGGUGAAUCUCUUUUGUCCUUGCUCUCAGAUCUGGUAAAAGGGCAAAGCAGCAACCUCCAGAUACAAUGUGCAGCACAAUUCGCCAGAACAAUAACUAGGAGUUGCUAAGAAGAGAAUGAGUUGGAAACUCCAUGCCUCAGGUUGGUGCCAUCCAUAAAGCCAAGAUAAUACAUAAACAGCUAAACAGCUAGUGGGACAACUAGGACAGAAAUGGCAGAAAACGUGACAGCCAAGAGAAGAAGCAAGAAUGGAGAGAACCCUGGAUAAUGGCACCGAGAUACCAUCGUGAAUGUUAUUCCCUGGCUGUUAUACAUGACUGGGAGACCCCAGUUGGUUAUGUCCUAUGAGAACCCAUAUCCUCUGUACCUCCUGAAGAGAAAUAUAUGGGGAAGAAUGUCUACAUAGGGGAGCCAGCAGGAUCCUACAGUAACUAGAUAGCCAAAACCUCAUUUGUGGCUAAUCCUUCAUUCUCACUGCAGCAGGGGGAAGGAAAAGUUUGAGUCCACACCUAAACUGUUUCUUUUCUUGAACUCCUAGGCUUGGGGACGUGUUCAGACUGCUUUCAGUUGCCUAGGUUUGGGAACAUCUGUCCUUGUGCCAUCUGUACUGUAGUUUUAAAAAUACAGUUAACUUUAUUUCUUUUGUUUUACUGGUCAUGAGCAAAUUCAUGCUUAUGCAGUCAAUUCAUGCUUGCGUGAACUGACUCAAUGAUGCCAUGCUCAUAUGAUUUGAGUCUAUUGAAAUAUAGCAUGGAAGGGAAGAGGGUGGAGUCUCCUAGCCAGGGGCUGAAUCAAGAAACUAAUUGUAUAAAUCCAUGCAGAUCACAGCCGUAGAUUAAUGAGAUGAUGAUGGCCAUCUCAUAAAGUUUACAGCAAAAGCUCAGGACCUCAGAUUGCCAGAAACUCCCAGGGGAAGACAAUUUUUAAACCAAGGCUAGGGUCCACAAAGUCCUUGGCUUAGCUCCACUUACUAGCCCUGUAUCUACUUCCCCCCCCCCCGUUUCCCCCCCACACACAUACCAUUCCCAUUCAAUUAUAAUGGAUAAUUGAGUUUUGAUUGCAUCAUGAUUUCAGUUAUUCUUUUUGGAAGCCAGUGAUGUUAGAUUUCC